rnacentral:lncRNA from 1 species
CCAUCUAGUCGAGAUUCAUGAUAGAGAGACUGAAUCACAUGUUAACUAUAUCUUGAGAUUCUUUUUUAGUUCUAUUAGAUUAUCAUUAUAUACUGCUAAGUAUCAUUGAUGGAUUAUGAGAGCUCACUAGGGUUGCUCGAGUUGACAAUUCUUGAUGAGUUAGAGUGAAAUUGUUCUAAUCCAUUGAAAAGAGUUUCGAUGAUACUUUGAUAGAGAUCAUUGUAUAUCUC